GACAUCUUUGGGAAAAGUCCAUUUUUCUCCAGUGUAAAGUAGAUGUAAUAAGAGCACCUUCUUCCCCAAAAGGGUGGAGGCAACCCAUGAGUCUUAUCAUGAAAGAGCCCACCUCCCAGGGUCAUUGGAGGCAUUAAAUCAGGAAAACAAAACACCAGCCAGCCAGGAGCUACAUGCAGAACUCCAGACCGGGAGCUCACCAAGGCCACCAGGUUCCAGAUGCUACCCUGAGACCAACCUGACUUCACUGGAUGGAUGACCUCACCUCCCCACUAGGGAAAGAUAGAAACAGGCUGGGAGUAUGAAUCAAACUGCCCAUGUCCAGCAGAGAAGCAAUUACAGAAGCCAGACCUUUCACCUUCUGUAUCCCACAACGAUCCUCGGUCCAUGCUCCCAGAGGAAUAAAGAACAAGAAAGCUUCCAAUGGAGAGGAUGGAAUACGGACCUCUGGUGGUACAAAUAGUGUGGCAUUGUACCCCUCUUAUCCUAUGGUCCUGUCAAUAUUUCCAUUUUAUAAAUAAAUUAAAAUUAAAUUAGCACCCUUGUGCCCUAUCACCUCCUCCCCUUGUCAAUUUCUCUGUCCUAUUAAAGAAAUAAACCUUCAAUAUCCUA